CGGCCAUGGACCCGGCCAGGAGGGGCUGAGGCUGGUCCGCUUUCCUGGGGUGUGCAGAGCCACAGGCUGUUUACCAACUGCCUUUUCUGCCCACUGGCUCUCUUAAUCCGCACAACAACCCAGACAGCAAUUCAGCCGAGUAUUUAUUCAACAUCAACUAUGUGCCCAGUAGAGGAGGCAGGGCAUAGAACACAACCGGAGAUGAAUCAACGCCUGAAUCAGCCCCUGUCAAAAGCAGUGCUUUCUUUGACCGGACUUGAGGAAUGCAGACAUGACAGCCUUACCAGAAGAUUGCCACCAGGCUCACGCCCUGUACUCCGUAAUAUAUUAAAGACCUCGUCCAUGAUGGCCUGUGACUACAAGACGGUGCAACAGGGAAGGAAUGGAAGUCCCCAGGUGGCUAAUUGUGCUUUUGUUCAUCAAUAGGGAGAUCUACCCCCAAAUAAUGUUUUUAAGUGUCCUUUUUGUUUGGUGCCCAGAAGGAUUUUAUAUCCUGGGAGAGGACGCCUCAGCAGUAAGGUCGGGAAUGUGUAAAGGAAACACCUGUUUUUUUGUGACCUGGGAGAAGGGCAGUUAUAAAGGGGGCAGAGUGAGAAAAGGAAAACCAAAUAUUUGAGAACAUGCACUUGAUAAAAUUAGCCACAUGUCAAGCCCAUUGGGGAGUCCUAUCGUGUGGAAUGUCUUUGUUCAUCUGUAUACCACACACACACAUGCACACUCACUCACACUCACAAGCUCACACUCAUGUAUACUCCCAAACACUCUCGUAUACCUUCAGGCUUACCAACACUCUUGCACUCAUGCACACAUAUACACUCAAGACUCACAUACACACACACCUUCACACACACUCUCACACUUACAUAUGCUCACAAAGUCACACAUGCUGAAACAUAGGCUGGCAUCCGCACACACUCAUGCUCACUCACACACUCACAUGCUCACAUCCAUGCACACCCACAGUCACUGCAGUCACACAUAUUGCAGAUGAUGGUGGAAGGCCCAGAGAGGUUUUUCUACUUGCUUAGGUCACACAGCAAAGAUCACUGCUCUAGGACAUUAUCUAUGGCUUCCUUCACUCAGGCUACAAGCCUCACUUCCUUUCUAGGAGACUGGGGGUGAUCUGAUUUUUUUUGUGUGGAGAUGUUCAGUCCUGUGCUCCCCUGGAAUGAUAAGGUGCCAGGUCCUAAAGUGUGCACUAAUUCCCCAGCUGCCCACUGCUGGGUCAGCAACGCUCUGCCUGCACCCGGAAUCAGCAGUCAUUCUCUGUGAGGCAGUGCAGCCACGGAGAGCUGUCCUAAUAGCAUAAAAGCUCAGGAAUGUACUUAAUUAAUGGUUGGUUCUGGCAUCAGUCGCUGGCUGGUGGCAAACAGGAGUCAUUAUUAAUGUGCUUGGACACACUUCUUCCCCGUGUGGUCCUGUAUGCCCAGUGAAAGGCAGCACGGUUGCCUGAUGGGGUCCAUCAUCUUGGGAUAUAGUCCAGGCCUUCCCCUGUUGUGCUAUGUGACUUCAAGCAAAUAAAAAACCUCUCUGAGCCUCCCAUCAAUUUCUGCAGAGUUUGUGUGUGU